rnacentral:rRNA from 1 species
GAUGAACGCUGGCGGCGUGCCUAAUACAUGCAAGUCGAGCGAACGGACGAGAAGCUUGCUUUUCUGAUGUUAGCGGCGGACGGGUGAGUAACACGUGGAUAACCUACCUAUAAGACUGGGAUAACUUCGGGAAACCGGAGCUAAUACCGGAUAAUAUUUUGAACCGCAUGGUUCAAAAGUGAAAGACGGUCUUGCUGUCACUUAUAGAUGGAUCCGCGCUGCAUUAGCUAGUUGGUAAGGUAACGGCUUACCAAGGCAACGAUACAUAGCCGACCUGAGAGGGUGAUCGGCCACACUGGAACUGAGACACGGUCCAGACUCCUACGGGAGGCAGCAGUAGGGAAUCUUCCGCAAUGGGCGAAAGCCUGACGGAGCAACGCCGCGUGAGUGAUGAAGGUCUUCGGAUCGUAAAACUCUGUUAUUAGGGAAGAACAUAUGUGUAAGUAACUGUGCACAUCUUGACGGUACCUAAUCAGAAAGCCACGGCUAACUACGUG